rnacentral:rRNA from 1 species
UGGUAGGUUAACACAAUUUUGGACGUUAUAAAAUGACUGGAGGAAUGUAGCUUCGAUUUUUCGAAGUGUUAUGCCUUUGGUAAAUGUGACGACCGGGAUUGAGGAUUACAACGAAUGCUUUUUGGCUAUCCUCUGGCCUCUGAUGGUUUCUUUGGGAUCGAAAGCGUGCUUACGAUUUCAAAGCUGGCUGCAAAAGGUUUAGAACGAGAUUAAAUUCGUUAAGGAUGUUGACGUAAUGGCUUUAAACGA